CGGGAUUGUUCUCAACUUUGCACCUUUACACAGCAGUUUCGAAGACAAAGGGGCUUUUCAGCUAGGUUUGGUUUACCGUUCCCUCCUCCCAGGCCCAAGCUUGGUGCCCAAUGUCCUCAGCAAUGACUGGGACGUCCCUACUUUGCUCCUUUUUCUUGGGGCCACUGCCCACCCCUAGGUUGCCCACUGUCCCUCCUAGAGAGGUGGAUGGCGGUGACAUUCCAGGGAGAACAAAGGGAGGAGUGAGGGGGCAAAGACGGCCUUCUAAAGUCCCACCCUGGAAAGACAUCCCACCAUGCCCGCGAGGCACCCUCAGGCUAUAGCCUUCGACAAGGGAGGCCUUUGCCCCGCCCCUUGGCAUGGGGGAGGGGUGUGGUGCCACCGGCGCUCUCUGAUUGGAUGCUGCCUCACGGUUCCAAGCCGCGAUUGUGCAGUGGGUGGCCGUCGGCACCUGCGUGCCCAAAGUGGGGAACCGGCCCUGGGGAGUUGCUGGAAGUUGGAGUCGGGGGAGCGGUCACUGGCAGCAAGCGUGGGCGGCGGCCAGUCGAAAAGAUGAGAGCAGUCCCUAGUCUAAGCCUUUCCGUCGCUCUCCGGCACCACUAGUACCAUGGACUCCACCCUGCCGCGGCCCCUUGGCGACGCGGUGCAGCUGCCACUCGACCAGCUGGAUUCAGUGGGAAACCAGUCAGAAGUGGGACGCCUCUGAACAAACUGUAUACUGUGUAGCCGCCAGCUUCUGCUUUCUCGAGGCAGAACGCUGGCCCUCGGUGCCUCUUUCUGCUUCCCCUUGUUCAGACCACUGAGGACUGCCACUGUCCUGUCUGACUCCUGUUUUGAUGGUAAACCAGAGGAGAGGUGUAUUAUGCAUCUCUAAGUCCUUCAAUUUCAUCACCUGAACACGGGGCUAUUAAUUAGCACCGGGCAGAUUGGAGGCUGAGGUGUGGGUUGACCCACAGCACCUAUCAUGGAAUAAGCAUUCAGGGCCUGUCAGUCACAGUCACAACACCUGUUAAGGUGUUGCGGGAACCCAGGUCUCCUGCUGCCCUUCUAAUGAGACUGUGGGACAUGAUGCAGCCUUCUCAGCCCCAGGUAAGACUCCUUGAGCAGGGGAAGGCCCAAGACCCUGCUCAGCCUGCUGGGUGACCUUCAGCCCUGACACCUACCUGGUUCCUGCCAUCUCAGCCGAUAAUCAGGUCCCAGUGGCUGCCUCCCAAAUGCUCUGAGGACACCCUGCACUGUCCCUCUGGGAAUCCCCAUUACAAUGAGACUUCAAGUCUUCUCCAGGAGGUGACAUCUGCCUCCCCAGCCCUCAGACCUGGGCUGGCCUUGUGAUGUUGUAGUAGAAUUUGGUGAAGUGACUGAGCGAGUGCCAGUUCUAAGCCCAGGCCUUAAGAGGCCUCGCCACACUUCCUCCCUUGAACCCCUUACCAGCCUCAUGAGAACCAACUCUGCUCGCCUUUGGGCUGGUGCCACCUGGGGUUGGAGGGAGCCUGGUUUUAGCUCAGGAUGUCUGAGCAAAGCUGACAGCCAGCCCCCGAGCAGGUUAGAGAGCCCAGCCAAGGCCAGCAGAUCCGCCUGCUCACCCUACAGAUCUUGAACAUGUGGAAGACCAGAAUGCCCAGGUAACCCACAGCCUUGUGAGCAAGGACCAAUGCUUGCUUGAUGCCACUGAGUUUCGGAGCAGUUUUUUACCAUCUUGAAUCAAGAUCUAAUGGAGGCAGCCCCAACCUUCAACAACCUGCAUCGCUCUUGGGGGACUCACAUGCAUGGGUGACCUGCGCCCUCUCAGAUUCUUCAUGCCCCAUGCCACCCAGUCCUAUACUCUGCUUCCAUCUUGGGGUAUGACAGGUGGCACCCCAUAGCUGAGUCCUCGCAACAGUCUGCACACCCUGGGUCUUCUUCCUUUGUCCCCCAGGAACCCCCAGUCCUUCCUGCAAAGCAGAAACAGGAGUGACACUGGCUCAAACGGCUGCGUCAUCAGCUCCAGCCUCUACAAGUGCGCCAGGCACUGGGGUCUUUCUUUGUCACCCAGGUUGGAGUGUAGUGGUAUGAUCUCUGCUCACUGCAGCCUCUACCUCCCAGGCUCAAGUGAUCCUCCUGCCUCAGCCUCCCAGCUGGGACUACAACAAGCAUCACCACACCUGGCUAAUUUUUAAGACUUUUUGUAGAGAUGGGGGUCUCACUAUGUUGCCCAGAAUGGUCUCAAUGCUGCUGGAGCUCCUGGGCUUAAGCAAUCCUCCCACAUCGACCUCCCAAAGCACUGGGGUUACAGGUGGGGGCCUCACCUGACUGCCUGGUUCUGGCCAUGGACAUCAAUGACCAAGCUGGCCUGAGAAUCACAGGUUGGCAGCAGCAAGGAGCUCAUCUCUUCUGCUGCCCAGACUCCUAGUAACAAAAGCUGAAGAGGGAGCAGACUUUGAGUCCUGCUCAGCAUAGAGACUAGAGUGACAUCACCAGAAAGGUAGACAUUUGGAAGGACACCAGCGACACAGAGAAGAGGAGGCCGGAGGUCCGCAAGGCAUCCAGCUCCUGGCCUUGGAUACCCAGGACUCUCUCCAGAAAGGCUCCCUCCCAGCCAUGGAACUUGAUGGUCCUUGAGUUCCUGAGGAUGGAGCUGGAGCUGACCCGGGACCACUGCCCCAGGGAGGCAGCUUCUGAUGCCCGGAGAACAGAGGUUGCCCCUGAGCCCACCUGGGUAUGGCGCCAUCAGAAAGCCUACUUGGAGGUCAGCUCAUCGACACUGCCUGGGUGAAAAAAGGACACCAGAUCUUGUUUUCAUUCAUGUUCGAAGCCAACAUUGCUGUCAGUGCAUGCCCAAGCCACCGGUAGCCUAGAAAUAUUUAGACCUGGUUUAUUAACCAUACACCUGCCAGACCCAACCCAGCCAAAACAUGAAAUCGACUGGGUGCAGUGACUCACACCUGUAAUCUCAGCACUUUGGGAGGCCAAGGCAGGUGGAUCUCCUGAGGUCAGCAGUUUGAGACCAGCCUGGCCAAUGUGGUGAAACCCCAUCUCUACUAAAAAUAUAAAAAUGAGCCGGGCGUGGUGGUGCACACCUGUAAUCCCAGCUACUCGGGAGGCUGAGGUGGGAGAAUCAUUUCAACACAGGAGGUGGAGGCUGCAGUGAGCCGAGAUUGAACCACUGCACUCCAGCAUGGGCAGAGCAAUGAGACUCCAUCUCAAAAAACAACAGUAACAACAACAAAGACACAAAAUCAAACCCCCACCCUUUUUUUUUUUUUUUUUUUUUUUGAGAUAGAUUGGGACUUCCUGUGUUCAGGCUACAGUGCAGUGGUACAAUUAUAGCUCACUGCAGCCUCUUACUCCCAGGCUGAAGCCUCUCACCUCAACCUUGUGAGUAGCUGGGAUUACAGGUGCAUGCUACCAUGCCCAACUAAUAUUUGUGUGUGUGUGUGGAGAUGGGGUCUCACCAUGUUGGCCAGGCUGGCCUCAAACUCUGGGAUUCAAGUGAUCCUCCCAUCUCAGCCUUCCAAAGUACUGGGAUUAGAGACCUGAGCCUCUGUUCCUGGCCAAAACCUAAUUACACAUUCAUGAAUGACUGAGGGCGUGAGCUUCUGUGUUUUUUAACAAUGAAACAGAUUAUUUCUUUGGUAUAACUUUGCUGGGGAUGCUGUAACAAACAAGACAAAUUUGUUGUCUCAGGCCAUGGCUCAUGUCUGUAAUGCCUGUACUUUGAUAGCAUGAGAGAUCUCUUGAGGUCAGGAGUUCGAGACCAGCCAGGCCAAUAGGAUGAAACCCUGUCUCUACUGAAAAAAUACAAGUCCAGGAGUGGUGGCUCACACCUGUAAUCCUAGAACUUUGGGAGGCUGAGGUAGGCAAAUCAUGAGGUCAGGAGUUUGAGACCAGCGUGGCCAACAUGGUGAAACCCUGUCUCUACUAAAAAUACAAAAAUUAGCUGGGUGUGGUGGCACACGUCUGUAAUCUUAGCUACUCAGGAGAAUGAGGCAGGAGAACUGCUUGAACCCACAAGGUGGAAGCUGCAGUAAACUGAGAUCGUACCACUUUACUCCAGACUGGGGGACAGAGCAAGAAUCCAUCUCAGAAGAAAAAAAUACCGAGGCAUGGUUGCAUGUGCCUGUAUUCCCAAGCUGCUCAGGAGGGUGAGGUGAAAGUAUUGCUUGAGCCUGGGAGAA